rnacentral:rRNA from 1 species
ACGCGAAAGUUCCCUUCGGGGAGCAAGUAGAGUGGCGCACGGGUGAGUAACACGUAGGUAAUCUACCUUUGGAUUGGGAAUAACACCGAGAAAUCGGUGCUAAUACCGAAUAAUGCAGCGGCACCUAAUGGUGACAGUUGUUAAAGCGGGGGAUCGCAAGACCUCGCGUCUAAAGAGGAGCCUGCGGCGGAUUAGCUAGUUGGUAAGGUAACGGCUUACCAAGGCGAUGAUCCGUAGCCGGCCUGAGAGGGCGGUCGGCCACACUGACACUGACAUACGGGUCAGACUCCUACGGGAGGCAGCAGUCGGGAAUUUUGGGCAAUGGGCGAAAGCCUGACCCAGCAACGCCGCGUGAAGGAUGAAAUCCCUCGGGAUGUAAACUUCGCAAGAACGGGAAGAAUAAGUCGGUGCUAACACCAUCGGCGAUGACGGUACUGUUUGUAAGCUCCGGCUAACUCCGUGCCAGCAGCCGCGGUAAUACGGGGGGAGCAAGCGUUGUUCGGAUUUACUGGGCGUAAAGGGCGCGUAGGCGGCCACCGCAAGUCGACUGUGAAAUCUCCGGGCUUAACUCGGAAAGGUCAGCCGAUACUGCGGGGCUAGAGUGCAGAAGGGGCAACUGGAAUUCUCGGUGUAGCGGUGAAAUGCGUAGAUAUCGAGAGGAACACCUGCGGCGAAGGCGGGUUGCUGGGCUGACACUGACGCUGAUGUG